AAAUAAAAAAAGGCCGAGUUCACUCCUCUACUCGGCCUAGGGAAAAAUGGCUCUAUCAAAGAGCCUUGCGCUAAAAGUUACCAUUGAGACGUAGAACAACUUACCAUUUAAAGCGUAGUUGACAUGCAAUGAUUUACCAAGUU
rfam:Xenorhabdus doucetiae str. FRM16 chromosome, complete genome.